UCAAUCGACCCCACAUCUCCACCACCCGCCGGGCCGGACUGGGCAGGGCGAUCCCCUCGGCUGCCAGCGCUCGCCCCCGCCCGCGCUUGGCCGGGGUCCAGGCGGGGCCACACGCCUCUUCUCUGGCCGGGCUCAGCCGUGUCCGACUCGCGCAUGGCCUCAGCCCGCCCUUCCAGGUCCUUCCCCGCCUCCCUAGCUGUCUCCCAGAAACAGAGAGACAAGCAAGGCUUCUCUUUCUUUACUCCUCUGUCACCCUCUAACCCUUCCUGCAAGCACCGCUCCCGGCGCGCUGACCCCUUAACUUUCCUGUAUGUCCUGCACCAUCUCCAACUUCAGGCCUGCAGGCAGGUACCAGAGCCCGAUAAAGAGACCACAGCACCCCGCCCCCCCACACACACACCAUUCACAUAAACAUCCCAAUCCGGCGGGCUCGAGGUCCCCCAAUUCCUCGGCCCACACAGAUUCCAUCGCCCCAUUUUCCGCGCCAGAAACACUGAGACCAGAAGGGGACCCCGAACGCUUUUCCGAUCUCAAUGGCAGGCCCCGUGAAGAGACAGCCACUGGGAACGAACGGACAGCAUAAGAGGAACCCAGUUAUCCUGUUUAGUAUUCUCCAGAAGAGGGGCGCUACCAGUCCCGCCUCUCCCACUGCCCACCAACCCCACUUUUAGCCACCCUCCCCUCCCCUGAGGAGCUCCGAGGAACAAGGUUGGAAGGGGAAGAGGGACUUUCAGAAGCUAAACAGUCAAUGAACGUGACACGCCUUUGCCCUAAGCGCACCCUGCCUGGAAACAUUAGAAGGGACCGAGGCGGCGAGAUGUCUAAAAUAGGAAGACGCUGGGGACGGCUGGCCUGGCUGCCCGCGAUGCUGGCUGCGGGGAUCUGGUCCAGCUGUGCAGAUGGAAAAGCUAGGAGGAGCUCAGGUAGCAUCAGGCUGGUGACAAAUUCGCCACGAACCCAAGGACAGCCUUGAAGUCCUCAUCCUCUGGCUGCCACUGCUCCUGUACUGGACUCACAGGCACACGGCACAGUGUGGGUGCACUGAGCUACCUCCCCAGCGCUGUAAUGAAGGCCUUGAGGUACCCCAUGCACAUCUGUCUGAUGACUUCUGUAGGGUAAAACUGUAAAUACACAACUGAUGGGGCAGAAAGACCUGCAAACUCAACCAGCAGUCAACGAGUACUGGCCUUGGCUCAGCCCCGCUGUAAGGCCUGGCGCAGCCAGCGUCUCCACUCUUGCGGAUUUACAGUGCAGCUGAGGAGAAGCACACUAUUCCACCAGAGAUGGAUGCUACUGAGAAAGCAACUAGAAGCCCAGAGGAAUGCUUUUGAGCAGUCACAUGAUGGGACCCUGCUGUGCCAAGUCUGAGGGGCCAUCACCCGUGAGUGAGCAGAGCCGCUGCAAAGGAUGGUGGGUAGGAGGUUCAAAAUGAUGGCCAGGGUGCCCAGAGUGGGUGGACAAGUGAAAGAACGGUUCAAGAGGAGACAGAAAGAUCAGCGGCAGCUUCGUGAAGAGCUGUAUGGGAUGGAGAGCACGGAUCCAUGGCAACGGAGUGAGCCGAGGCUUCUUGGCUGCUGCAUGGAAAGCGGCCAGAGUGAACACAGAGAGGCCAGGUGGGACACUGCUAUUAUAGAAGGUAAAGACCCUGGGAACUCCAGCGAGAGCCGGUACCAGAGGGAAACUGUAUAGGUUCAAGACCCCUGUGGAGAUCUUGGGUGCAGGUGCACGGUCAGUGGAGAAGAGGGGAAAAACAAAAGUCCAGGAUGACUUGGAGGCUUUCAUGUGGCAGUUGGACCAGAGAGCUGAGGGAGGAGGAGGAGGGCUGGGCCUGGCACAGGGAGCUCCACCGCCAUAGAGCGUGAUGUUUGAGGAAUACAGACAGACACACAGAGACGGCGGGGAGCUCGGAGCCGCAGGAAGGCUGGGAUGGGAAAUCAGCCUGAGACCCGCAGUUCCACCCCACAGGCUGUUAGCACAGCCCACUGUGAGACCUUGCUCCAGCCACCAGGACCUACUGCUCUGUGUACAGAAACCAUUAAAUGGGGGCUGUGGAUGUA